GGAAAGGGUGACAAAAAAGGUAAAAAGAAAUAAGGAAAAUUAUAAUAAGAGUCCUUUUCUCGUUUCGUUUCUUCUCUCUUU
rnacentral:ribozyme from 1 species